rnacentral:hammerhead_ribozyme from 1 species
GUCCAGCUAACGAGUCCCAGAUAGAACGAAACGUACGUCUUGUAU